rnacentral:sRNA from 1 species
CUUAUGACGAACAAACAAUGGACAUGGAUAUCAGACAAUACAACAAGAUAGGUGUUUACGGAUAGGCGGGCGGAACUGAACUGACUACUCUGGAGCUCCAGGUACAUGUAUUGGGGUGGGCAGUGGACCAGGGUCAGAGGUCAUUUGCAUAACAAGUAGUUACAUAAUAAUGUACAUUUCACUACAAUAUGUUACUGUAGUCGGAUAAUGUCUUCAUUAAGACUCACCGGACUUUAUUAAGGAAGCAGGAAACUUACGGUGCGCUUGCAUAGGCCUACCAACCAUGAACCAUCUCAUUGAUCUUUUCUCGUUUUCAAUAUUUAUUAAUCUCAAUUAACCAAUUAAUGCGCGAUCGACACCCUUUCGAUAAUGGGGGUCUGAAAUCAACGAACAUGCUAUGAAAGCAUGUUGUAACGGUUUUAAUAGAGGCAUGAGUGAGCAUUUACAGGACGAAAGUGUGAAUAAGCCUCUCGGAAUGGUGCAUGCAAUGUUUGUGAAAGCGAGGUCAGCGGUCUGUUUCAGUGGAAUAAUCAAUUUGCAUGUAUGCCCAAAAAAGUUCAAUAGAGGCACGAGUCUAAUUACUAUGAUCAUUAAAUCGGUUAUUUCAAAGAAUAUGCUUAAUGAUCUCUACAUAUAUAAUAUGUACUCAUUAUCUGCAAUAUUCUUGAAAAUCAGUUCAGUGACCAAAAAGAAACUGUGUUGAAAAACCCCCAAAACAAAACCGGACAGAUUAACUUACAGACAGGUCAAAAGAAUUUUACUCUCUAUUCAACGUAUUGCGUGUGGUAUUAAAAAAAAACGUUUAUGAGAAAAGUAUACGUUUACGUAAUUUAUUGAUCACAACUCGACACAAAAUUUGAAGGGAGUAUUUAAAAAGUUCAAGGAAUGCGUACACAUGUAUUUAAAAUUCGACGAGUUUUUACAAUUGAUCUAUCUAUACAAUAGACAUCAGCUGUAUGCUAAUAAUAACAACAGUUUACGACUGAAUGGUUUUCAGUACCGAUUUGUUACCAUAUGUCGACUUAUAAACUUCAAUAGUUUUUAUUGUGACAAAUGAAGAAAUAAAGUUUUGUCUUAC